rnacentral:sRNA from 2 species
UUGCUAUCUGCGAUAUGGAAGAUUCGAACCUGCCGCAGGUUCGGGUCUCACGUAGUGAGACAACGGAGCCGCUUGUGGCGACGGCCCGAAGGGCGAGCAAAGCGAGUCAUCCUGCACGACCCACCA